rnacentral:rRNA from 1 species
UACGUAGGUGGCAAGCGUUGUCCGGAUUUAUUGGGUUUAAAGGGUGCGUAGGCGGUCUUUUAAGUCAGUGCUGAAAUAUCCCGGCUUAACCGGGAGGGUGGCAUUGAUACUGAAGGACUUGAGUUCAGUCGAGGUAGGCGGAAUUGACGGUGUAGCGGUGAAAUGCUUAGAUAUCGUCAAGAACACCGAUAGUGUAGACAGCUUACUAGGCUGAAACUGACGCUGAGGCAACGAAAGUGUGGGGAUCAAACAGG